UUUGGGAAGGUAAAAAGUCGUAACAAGGUCUCCKYUGGUGWACCAGGCGGGAGGGAUCAUUACAGAGUUAUCCAACUCCCCAAACCCAUGUGAACUUAUCUYUUUUGUUGCCUCGGCGCAAGCUACCCGGGACCUCGCGCCCCGGGCGGCCCGCCGGCGGACAAACCAAAACUCUUGUUAUCUUAGUUGAUUAUCUGAGUGUCUUAUUUAAUAAGUCAAAACUUUCAACAACGGAUCUCUUGGUUCUGGCAUCGAUGAAGAACGCAGCGAAAUGCGAUAAGUAAUGUGAAUUGCAGAAUUCAGUGAAUCAUCGAAUCUUUGAACGCACAUUGCGCCCAUUAGUAUUCUAGUGGGCAUGCCUGUUCGAGCGUCAUUUCAACCCCUAAGCACAGCUUAUUGUUGGGAACCUACGGCUUCGUAGUUCCUCAAAGACAUUGGCGGAGUGGCAGUGGUCCUCUGAGCGUAGUAAUCUUUUAUCUCGCUUCUGUUAGGUGCUGCCCCCCCGGCCGUAAAACCCCCAAUUUUUUCUGGUUGACCUCGGAUCAGGUAGGAAUMCCCRCUGAACUUAAGCAUAUCAAUAAGCGGAGGAACCCUUUUCACCUUUUUUCCUACUAACAACGAGCCAUGUUGUCGCCCCGUAGUGUGUAGACA
rnacentral:rRNA from 1 species